CCCUUUGGGCCCCCCCAUAUCAACUUAGUCUUCAAAGGAAUCUAGUGCCAUGGGACUCCAGUGUCUUCAAAACAUCCUCGGAAUACAUGUGUAUGAAUGGUCCACCGAAGGGUUGAUCUGGAAGCCACCACGGUCCACGCAGUAAUCUGCUGCGUGGGCCGUAGUGGCUUCCAGAGCCAUCUUUCGGUCUUGGUCAGGAUUUGUUACAGUUGCCCUUCAAUGUAGCAGGCUACGGGUUUCUGAAGAAGCCUGCUUUACGUAGCAUUGGAGUACAAAUAUUGUGCAAAAUGCUCAUGUAAUUGCACUAGCACUAGUAACCUGUAGAUUAGCUUAGUUUAACGUCAUUCCGUGCUGUCUCUGUCAAAUGUGUGGCUUACUUUAAGUCCACAAGGCCCUCUGGUAAACCAUGUUGGAACACCCCUGGACAAGGUGAUUAGUCACUUGGUGUGUGCUAAAGUUUUCUUCCAUUUUUUCACUAGUUGGUUAAGGUUUGGUAGAAUUGUUUGGAUGCUAGCGACGUGAUGGCGUAUGUACAAGAGCCUACCGUGGCCAGGCCACAGUUGCGACGGUCACGGCCAGAUGGCCUAGUGUGAGUGCAACCUUGAUUGCAUUUGUAUACUGUUUACCAUUGGAUGUUUAUGCAAUUUGGCUUAAUUCAUCCGCAGUAAAGCUGCAUUUGACUAUUCCAGGGUUGUUUUGUACAGUCUUUCAAUUUACCAUGUUGACUAGUUUGUGGGAAGUUAUUUUUUUUUUUAUUCUUGCUUACAAUCCAACGGUUGUGACCACUUAUGCAACUGGGCUGUGAACCUUGCAAUUCUAGUUGCAUAUUUAUACACGCAAGCUUGUCCAUUUCUAUCGCCAUCACUAACACUAGCUUCAGCAUUUCCUUGUAGGCCAUUAGCUGACUUGUGUAUUGGAGGGAUGAUUUGGGUAUUUUAAGAUGCUUAAACCUAAAAUAAAGCAAAAUGCGUGUCUGGUGUGCAAGAGCCAAUUUGUUGGCUUGCAGUAGUUGAGGAGUUGCCGUAGGUCGUAAGCCAUCUGGAGGUUGUGGCAAUGGAGGCUUGUGGUAGAUCUGCCAUCCAAGAAAGGGGGAGUUGACUGUUGGUGGUUCAACACUGAUGUCUCUCUAGGCUUGAGGGAGAGCUCACAAGUAAAUUACACAAAUGUCCUGGAGGAAUUGGGAAUACACUUUUAUUUAGUCUACCUGACCAGGGACAUCUUUGAACUAUAGGUCACCUAACCCAAACUUUUCACUCUUGUUAGGUUGUCCUUUUCUCUUGUUUUAACCCGAAAGGGCUGAAAUAUCAACAUUUCAGGUAUUCUGUUUGGAUAAUGUGCAAAACUUGUAGCUUCUCUAAUAAAAAAAAUUAACGAAUAUUUUUCUUAAUGUGGUUAAACUAUUUAAAGAUUUGUAUGCAAAAUAUUUCUGCUCAAUGAAACUGACAUUUUUAAUUUGAUAAAACACAACUAUGGGUUAAUGGUAUUUGCUUUGGGCAUCUUUUGAUAUUUUUAGAAUCUAGCUCCAUUGCCGUUAGAAAUGGUGUCUCCCAGUACUGCAAAGUGCUUCCACAAGUUUAAAAAAUGGGCAGAAAAGGAACUGCCAACUAAAUCUAUUUAACAUGGGUAGAAAGUUUCCAUGGAAGCUCUUGGCUGCUGGUUCCCAACACAGCUCCACUGUUAGCCUGUGACCUUGUGUUGAACUUUUUUCGACUUUUGGUGACUUUCACAAAAGAGAAAUGAACAAUGUUAAUACAAGACCCCCUUUGAUAAAAGGGGUUCUCAAAUGUUGACCCUCAGUCACCUAUUGCAGCACUUCCUUUAGGGCUUCGGCCUCCUAAUUGAUCAUUAUAGUAUAAUUG
ensembl:lncRNA